ensembl:snRNA U6 U6 spliceosomal RNA
GCGCUCGCUUCAGCAGCACGUAUACUAAAAUUGGAACGAUACAGAGAAGAUUAGCAUGGUCCCUGCACAAGGAUGACACGCAAAUUCGUGAAGCGUCCCAUAACUUU